UUAAAGAAGAAAGAAACCUAAAAUGGGAAAACAGCGGAUCGUUGCACCAAUGUUAUCAGGUCCACAUUAAUCUGCACCACACGUCAAGUGACUGUGCAGAUGAUUUAUUUACCAAGCACAUAAUCAGUGCUGUCGAUGAGGGGAGGCAACGUAACUCUUAAAUAUAUACA